rnacentral:ribozyme from 2 species
AUAUUAACUCCGCCUGUAGCUCCUCCGGGGUCUACUGCCGAUUCAAAGUCCGGGUAAAGGAGGAGGGUUGU